rnacentral:rRNA from 1 species
UUGCAGUUAAAAAGCUCGUAGUCGGAUUUUGGCUGAGAACGGUCGGUCCGCCGUUAGGUGUGCACCGACUGGUCUCAGCUUCCUGGUGAGGAGGUGUGCUUCAUCGCCACUUAGUCACCGUGGUUACUUUGAAAAAAUUAGAGUGUUCAAAGCGGGCUUACGCUUGAAUAUAUUAGCAUGGAAUAACACCAUAGGACUCCUGUCCUAUUUCGUUGGUCUCGGGACGGGAGUAAUGAUUAAGAGGAACAGUUGGGGGCAUUCGUAUUUCAUUGUCAGAGGUGAAAUUCUUGGAUUUAUGAAAGACGAACUUCUGCGAAAGCAUUUGCCAAGGAUGUUUUCACUGAUCAAGAACGAAAGUUGGGGGCUCGAAGAUGAUUAGAUACCAUCCUAGUCUCAACCAUAAACGAUGCCGACUAGGGAUUGGCGGAUGUUAAUUGAUGACUUCGCCAGCACCUUAUGAGAAAUCAAAGUUUUUGGGUUCCGGGGGGAGUAUGGUCGCAAGGCUGAAACUUAGAGGAAUUGACGGAAGGGCACCACCAGGCGUGGAGCCUGCGGCUUAAUUUGACUCAACACGGGGAAACUUACCAGGUCCAGACAUAGUAAGGAUUGACAGAUUGAGAGCUCUUUCUUGAUUCUAUGGGUGGGUGGUGCA